AGAGUUUGAUCAUGGCUCAGGACGAACGCUGGCGGCGUGCUUAACACAUGCAAGUCGAACGGUGAACCGGGCUUCGGCCCGGGGAUCAGUGGCGAACGGGUGCGUAACACGUGGGCAACCUGCCCCAGACUCUGGGAUAACUCCGGGAAACCGGGGCUAAUACCGGAUACUCCGAUCGAACCGCAUGACUCGAUCGGGAAAGCUCCGACGGUCUGGGAUGGGCCCGCGGCCUAUCAGCUUGUUGGUGGGGUAACGGCCUACCAAGGCGACGACGGGUAGCUGGUCUGAGAGGACGACCAGCCACACUGGAACUGAGAUACGGUCCAGACUCCUACGGGAGGCAGCAGUGGGGAAUCUUGCACAAUGGGCGAAAGCCUGAUGCAGCGACGCCGCGUGGGGGACGAAUGCCUUCGGGUUGUAAACCCCUUUCGGCAGGGAAGUAGCGCAAGUGACGGUACCUGCAGAAGUAGCUCCGGCUAACUACGUGCCAGCAGCCGCGGUAAGACGUAGGGAGCGAGCGUUGUCCGGAUUCAUUGGGCGUAAAGCGCGCGUAGGCGGUUUGGUAAGUCGGAUGUGAAAUCCCGAGGCUCAACCUCGUGACUGCAUCCGAUACUGCCCGACUAGAGUAGUAGGGGGAGAUCGGAAUUCCUGCUGUAGCGGUGAAAUGCGCAGAUAUCAGAGAACACCGGUGGCGAGCGAUCUCUGGGCUACUGACGCUGAGGCGCGAAGCUAGGGAGCAAACAG
rnacentral:rRNA from 1 species